GGGCAUGCUGGGAGAUGUAGUUCUAUAGCGAGUGACGGCGGCGCUCAGUGUGAACGUGAGCAGUGGUGGCCGCACGCCGGGAAAGCCAGUCGGCAGGGGGACAUCCCGCUCUUCAAGCUCAUAUUGGUGUAGCAGCAAGUCCUGAGUAUGGUUAGCAGGCGAGUAUAGGCUAUAAUAUAUGGCAAAGUAAAUACGCCCCAAGGAGAACAACACAACUACAUACGAGACGUUUUGCGACCCUGUCUAUUUUGCAGUGAGAUGAACAUAAGCAUCUCAUGCAAAGUAUAAGAGAUCAGUUACAAGAAACAACUGCACCCAUCCUGGUCAUUGCACUGCUCCUUGCUUCAAGGCGAUCUACUGAAUAAGAGAAUCACCAAGCCACUGAGACAGCUCUAUGAGAUGAACAGCAGAGGGAGCAUUCUAGUUGCCAGCGCUCUCCACUUCUUAUUGGAAUAGUGCUGUGUGGUAGUGUCAUAGAGCUCUGUGCGACAGAGAGAAAUGCAGAAGUCGCGCAGCAUUCAAUGCAACAUCCUGUGCUGCUGGACACUGAGCAACUUCCAAGAGACGCAGCAGAAACAUUACACAAGGCAUGCAUGCUCCUCUUCUCAACUCCCUGCCUAUCACAUGAAAGCUGGAUUGAAGGACAUCCAAUCCCUUUAGAUUGUAAAUUUGCGUGCUGGGCCUUCCUACCUUUAUGACUGUCUAUUAU